UGGGGAAUUUUGGACAAUGGGGGAAACCCUGAUCCAGCCAUCCCGCGUGUGCGAUGAAGGCCUUCGGGUUGUAAAGCACUUUUGGCAGGAAAGAAACGUCAUGGGUUAAUACCCCGUGAAACUGACGGUACCUGCAGAAUAAGCACCGGCUAACUACGUGCCAGCAGCCGCGGUAAUACGUAGGGUGCAAGCGUUAAUCGGAAUUACUGGGCGUAAAGCGUGCGCAGGCGGUUCGGAAAGAAAGAUGUGAAAUCCCAGAGCUCAACUUUGGAACUGCAUUUUUAACUACCGGGCUAGAGUGUGGCAGAGGGAGGUGGAAUUCCGCGUGUAGCAGUGAAAUGCGUAGAUAUGCGGGGGAACACCGAUGGCGAAGGCAGCCUCCUGGGAUAACACUGACGCUCAUGCACGAAAGCGUGGGGAGCAAACAGG
rnacentral:rRNA from 1 species